UACGGAGGGUGCAAGCGUUAUCCGGAUUCACUGGGUUUAAAGGGUGCGUAGGCGGGCAGGUAAGUCAGUGGUGAAAUCUUCGAGCUUAACUCGGAAACUGCCUUUGAUACUAUCUGUCUUGAAUAUGGUGGAGGUAAGCGGAAUAUGUCAUGUAGCGGUGAAAUGCUUAGAGAUGACAUAGAACACCUAUUGCGAAGGCAGCUUACUACGCCUAUAUUGACGCUGAGGCACGAAAAGCGUGGGGAGUCAAACAGGA
rnacentral:rRNA from 1 species